rnacentral:rRNA from 1 species
CCUACGGGAGGCUGCAGUGAGGAAUAUUGGUCAAUGGGCGCGAGCCUGAACCCGCCAAGUCGCGUGAGUGAAGACGGUCCUCUGGAUUUUAAACCCCUUCUGUCGGGGAGCAAAAGACGCCACGCGUGGCGUUCCGAGAGUACCCGAAGAAAAAGCGUCGACUAACUCCGCGCCAGCAGCCGCGGUAAUACGGAGGAUGCGAGGGUUAUCGGGAUUUAUGGGGUUUAAAGGGUGCGCGGGGGGCAUGUUAUGUCAGCGGUAAAAGCCCGGGGCCAAACCCGGGAGAGCCGUUGAAACUGGCGGGCUGGAGUUGGGGAGAGGGACGCGGAAUGCGCGGUGUAGCGGUGAAAUGCUGAGAUAUCGCGCAGAACCCCGAUUGCGAAGGCAGCGUACCGGCUGCACACUGACGCUGAGGCACGAAAGCGUGGGGAUCGAACAGGAUUAGAUACCCUUGUAGUC